rnacentral:rRNA from 1 species
UUUGUGGAGAGUUUGAUCCUGGCUCAGGAUGAACGCUGGCGGCGUGCUUAACACAUGCAAGUCGAACGGAAAGGCCUCUGCUUGCAGAGGUGCUCGAGUGGCGAACGGGUGAGUAACACGUGGGUGAUCUGCCCUGCACUUCGGGAUAAGCCUGGGAAACUGGGUCUAAUACCGGAUAGGACGAUGGUUUGGAUGCCAUUGUGGAAAGUUUUUUCGGUGUGGGAUGAGCUCGCGGCCUAUCAGCUUGUUGGUGGGGUAAUGGCCUACCAAGGCGUCGACGGGUAGCCGGCCUGAGAGGGUGUACGGCCACAUUGGGACUGAGAUA